CUGCUCACACCCCGUGCAGCAGUCAGUCCCAGUCCACACCCAGCAUGGACAUGAGGGCCUCAAAUCACAUCCUGGGACUUGGACUCCUGCUGCUCUGGCUCCCAGGAGCCAGAGGUGACAUCCAGAUGACCCAGUCUCCAUCCUCCAUGUCUGCAUCUCCAGGAGACACAGUCUCCAUCAACUGCAGAGCCAGUCAGGGUAUUAGCAAUUAUUUAGCCUGGUAUCAGCAGAAACCAGGGAAAGCCCCCAAGCUCCUGAUCUAUGGUGCAAAGUAUUUAGCAUCUGGGAUCCCCUCCAGAUUUAGUGGCAGUGGAUCUGGGACGCAGUUCACUCUGGCCGUCAGCAGCCUGCAGCCUGAAGAUGUUGCCACUUAUUACUGUCAGCAGGGUAAUAGUUGGCCUCUCACAGUGAUACAAGUUACAACAUAAACCCUCCCAGGGAAG